UCCGUAGGUGAACCUGCGGAAGGAUCUUUACCGAGUUGAUUCCAGCUCCGGCUCGACUCUCCCACCCUAUGUGUACCUACCUCUGUUGCUUUGGAGGGCCGCGGUCCUCCGCACCGGCGCCCUUCGGGGGGCUGGCCAGCGCCCGCCAGAGGACCAUAAAACUCCAGUCAGUGAACUUCGAAGUCUGAAAAACAAGUUAAUAAACUAAAACUUUCAACGACGGAUCUCUUGGUUCUGGCAUCGAUGAAGAACGCAGCGAAAUGCGAUAAGUAAUGUGAAUUGCAGAAUUCAGUGAAUCAUCGAAUCUUUGAACGCACAUUGCGCCCCUUGGUAUUCCGAGGGGCAUGCCUGUUCUAGCGUCAUUUCAACCCUCAAGCUCUGCUUGGUAUUGGGCCCCGUCCUCCACGGACGCGCCUUAAAGACCUCGGCGGUGGCGUCUUGCCUCAAGCGUAGUAAAAAACACCUCGCUUUGGAGCGCACGGCGUCGCCCGCCGGACGAACCUUUGAAUUAUUUCUCAAGGAUGACCUCGGAUCAGGUAGGGAUACCCGCUGAACUUAAGCAUAUCAAUAAGCGGAGGA
rnacentral:rRNA from 1 species